rnacentral:tRNA from 5 species
GUGGCGGCUAGCUCAAUCGUAGAGCGCCAACGAUUGCCCGAAAGGGACGCAGAUUGAGGGUUAUCGCUUUGGACGACUUCCCCCUUAAUCGCCGGAGAUGCGGGUGCAACCCCCGCGCCGCUACACCA